GAUGAACGCUAACGGCAGGCUUAAUACAUGCAAGUCGAGGGGCAGCAGGACUGUAGCAAUACAGUUGCUGGCGACCGGCAAACGGGUGCGGAACACGUACGCAAUCUACCCGAAACUGGGGCAUAGCCCGGGGAAACCCGGAUUAAUACCCCGUAACACUUUGAAGUGGCAUCACUUUAUAGUUAUAGCUCCGGCGGUUUUGGAUGAGCGUGCGGCUGAUUAGGUAGUUGGCGGGGUAACGGCCCACCAAGCCUACGAUCAGUAACUGGUGUGAGAGCACGACCAGUCACACGGGCACUGAGGAACGGGCCCGACUCCUACGGGAGGCAGCAGUAAGGAAUAUUGGUCAAUGGACGCAAGUCUGAACCAGCCAUGCCGCGUGGAGGAUGAAGGCCCUCUGGGUUGUAAACUUCUUUUAUAGGGGACGAAACCUCUUUUUCUUGAGAGACUGACGGUACCCUAGGAAUAAGCACCGGCUAACUCCGUGCCAGCCGCCGCAGUAAUAC
rnacentral:rRNA from 1 species